CAGAGACUUCUCUAGAUUUGUAUUUCCAGGGACCCAGACCCUGUCUUGCUUUCAAUAAGUGUUCAGCAACAACAAUAACACAGAAGUGACUGUUUAUUCAGAUGGGAGUUAACAUGGGUGCGAUAACACUCGAGAUUUCUGUUUCCCACUCGCACGGUUGUAAGGAAGCUUACGCAGCAAGGCAGACAGCACUGCUGAGCAAUGGAAAAGGAGCAUGAAUUCAGGACAGGGCCCAAAGGACCUUCCUAAGUACUCCUGACAGGUCUCCAGGUGAGGCACAGGUAUUCUUGCUGUUUGGAGCUAAGACAUCUAACCGCACAAGUGUGCACACAGGCUGCCAGCUCUUAGGAGACCAUCUGGUAAUGGCAUAUUUUGUUAUAUUUUAAAGAUUUCUUCUUGUGUG
rnacentral:lncRNA from 1 species